UGUCUGAUGCUAAUUCGUCAUUCAAGUUAUGUGCUUUGGUGUCUGUUCAUAAGGGUUAACUUUGCCACUCUCUGCCUCUCUAUGCUCAGAGAAUUCAAUUCAAUUUGAUCUGUAUAGCGUUUUUGACGACGGACGUCGUCUCAAAGCAGCUGUACAGAAACAUAUAAACACGGGAUGGAGAUUUUAAGUGUGUGAAUUUAUCCGUAUCGGGCGAGCCGGUGGCGACGGUGCCGAGGAAAAACUCCCUGAGACGAUAUGACGAAGAAACCUUGAGAGGAACCGGACUCAGAAGGGAACCCGUCCUCAUCUGGGUCACGACGGAUAGCGUGAAAGUAAAAGAAAGUUCACUAAAGGAGACUCGUAUGUGGUAAUCGCAGUCCCAAGGCCAUCGCAGCAACCGUAGUCCCGGCAACCACAGCACAACUGUUCAUGUGAAAUUGAGGUCCCAAACCAUUUCCAUGGUACUUGAAGUGGCACCAUCCAACGCAAUCUCCAGGCUGCACCGCUUGGCGCCGUCCUCAGUACCAGAACGUAGCCUCCGGUUGAUGAGAGCUCCAUGCAGAGGUGGGGCUUCAGGAUGGAUCAGGCAGGUCCGGAGAGCAGAAAGGGUCAGGAUCACUGGCGUCUCCGUAAUAUAAUGUGUGGCUCGACUGAAGGAGCGAGGGAGAGGGAGGUAAAGAGAGGAAGAGAUCGUGUACUUUGCAUAAAAGGAAGUCUUAUUUAUGGUAAGCUUGAGUAAACAAAUAUGUUUUCAGCCUGGGCUUAAACACUGAGACUGUGUCUGAGCUCCAAACACUGACUGGAAGGCUGUUCCAUAACUGUGGGGCUUUGUAACAGACAGUUCUUCCCCCUGCUGAACACUAGCUGUUUCUUGUUAGACUACGCACUGUUUUUUUUUUUUGUUGUUGUUAUAAGAGCUUCUCUUUCUUCUGGUUCGCCCCUGGUUUUCCCGUCCUAUUGACAUGCUUUCAUUUCAGCUCAGUCUUGUCUUGGAUUUGACCCCCUUACGACUUGCCUUGAUCCCGGCUACUCCUGAUCUUGGACUUGACGAUAGCGAUCUUGACUACAACCCUACUGUUCACUGUGUUUUACUCUCGCUAUAUUUAAAACCCCUUACUGCGACUAGUGGAAGAUGAACCCUCGGUUCUUUGAGUCCUUCUGGAGACCGUUAUUAGUUUACGGAGGGACAACUGUAGUGUGUGUGAGAUUCAGCGAACGUACGGAGCCAUAGAGGUGAUCGUAAACUAAGACACCAGUGUGAAAUGGUGCAGAAAUGAUGCAGGAUGCAGAAUAUUUUGACACCAACAUGUUACAACAGACGUCAGAUCUGUAAUAGAGCGUUGUAAUCCGACGUGAUCGACCUGUUCUGUAUGGACUGGACCCGGACAGUCACUGCACCUUUUAUUCUCUGUUCCACGAUCUUCUCCGGAAACCUGGCAACAACUCGGAGACCUCGGUAAAGCAUCUGUAAGAGAAGAUCUGUUUACCGCUUCGGCGUUCGAACUCUCGUGUCCAGCCGACCGUGAGUUUAACGACGGAGUUUCCGCAUUCGUUCACGUGGUAGAGAUUGUGACCCUGGUGAAGCGUAUGCCCCAGAGUGAACUGAAGUGCUGGUUAACAAUGUGCCAGUGUGUAAAAUGUGUGUGGGUAUUAUCUGAACCUUCACCCAGCAGAUGUAGACCCGUUCUGGGAGGUGGAGUGUUGGUGGCCCCUACCAGAGGACCAGAAUGACCUUCAUACUCACCUCUAGACUCCUGAACGGCUAAUAGGAUUUCCCUGCCCUGGGCUAUGGCACUGAGAGGAGGUGCAAACAGAGGAGAGAGGCGGGGGGGGACAGGAGGAGGAGAGAGGGAUGUGGGGAAAAGGGGGAAUGAUUUCGCCCUGGUGAAGAGAGAUGACUGACUCCGUCUGAGGAAUGUGAUGUGAGAAUCUCAUUGACUUCCUGAUGAGAUGGGGGACAGCGGGGAAAAUCUGGCCAAAACGAAGGCACCUUUAUCGUCUUUAGAAUUCAAAACCCUAGACCUGUAUUGUCCGUGCACAUUCAGGAUAUCUGACGGUGCGUGUGCUCUCUCUAGUGUGUACGACUAUGCUAUGUAAGGGAUUAAAUACUGGGGUGUGCAGUUAAAGGUACUGAUCGUGUGGCAUGCAGAGACUAACAGCACAGACAAGUUAGUUACUGUUAUACUGCCAUCACUUACAUCAUAGAAACUAUAAACAGUCGCUCCAUCACCAGCCCAUCUUCCGUCUCUGGAAGUUAAUAAACUUACCGUAAUAAAGCGCCGACACUGGAGACUCCUUACAGAAAUUCACCAUUUCAACGAGUAACCAUUCUCCAUAAAUAUCGACGUUGUUUUUUUUUUGGUUGUUUUUUUUUUUAAACUCUGUUUUAGUUCUAGCUUUUGAUUAUGUCGAACAUAAUACUGUAUAUUAAGCCAUGACAUCAAAGCGUCUCAACUUUCCUCUGAUACUCGUGAUCUGUAACCCUUCUCACACACAUUCAGUGACAUGUAAAUCACAUGUUAAUAAGUCAGAUAGACCCUUGCACUUUCAAGGGCUUGAUACAGUAUGUCACUAAUAUAACAAACAAACCCCGUGGGAAAGUUAAGAUCAAUUUGGAAAUGUGUUUCGAAUGAAUGAGGGUCAGAAUUGUUUGUUUGUUUGUUUGUUUGUUUGUUUUGUUUUUUGGCCCAUGGCUCAGUUAAUUGAAAAACCUCAAUGGCACCUAAACUGCAUAGAAAAGAUCUGUAGCUGUAACCCACGUUUCAUCGGGCUUGAAGCCAAGCCAUUAUUGAGAAAUUCAUCCAUUUUAAAAGGCAGAUUUUUAAAUGAAAUCUAAUGAAAGCAAAAAUUUUUUUUUUUUUUUUUUUUUUUUUUUUUGCGCAAAAAUGCAUGCGAGAUCUGAGAUAAUGUUUAACGGAUGACCUUUUGUUCCUCUGACACAAUGUAAAGGACAGAUAUUUCUGACAAAAGGAAGAGAGAGAGAAAAACGAACAAAACAACAACCCUGGUAACUUUUAAUUCUGUGGAUGUUUGUAUGUAAAUUCUGAAACUAAAGAGCAUGAAAGGAAGUACUGUUUCUGUAUGUUCAAGAGCAUAUUUGAAGAAAAAAAAAAAUCAUUUUCUCUUGUUUUAUUUUCAGGUUUAAUUGAUCAGUUGUUUGAUCCAUGCAUCCAUUUUCCAUACUGCUUAGCCGACACAGGGUCAGGGGGAGCCUGGAGCCUAUCCCAGGGAACUUGGAGCGAAGGUGUGGGGACACUCUGGACGGGGUGCCAACCAAUCACAGGGCACAAUCACACACACUCAUAUACUAUGGACAAUUUGGAAAUGCCAAUCAGCCUUCAAUGCAUGUCUUUGGACUGGGCGAGGAAACCGGAGUACCCGGAGUAACCCCGCCCACUUAUUUCAUCAGAUAUAUAUAUAAAUAUAUAUAUCUUUCAAACAGUAUGUAAGCUAAUGUAGCUAGGUACAAGUGUCAACCAACAGUGAUAUUCAAUGUAACCGCACUCUCGCUCAUGCAGUCUUGCUUUUAGACAGCAGUUCUUUAAACAAUAGAUGAAUAUAGAGUAAGACGCGAUGUGGCCAAAUGUUCCGUUUAUUUUUGCUCCGCUAGUGGAAAUAAAUCCCAACGAAGCCACACUUACAUUAUAGCAUGUUGGCUAGCUAGCUCACACGGAUUUAUACGUCCCCGUUAAAAGGUGCUUCUGGUCGAAUUGGCGUCCCUUCUUCAUUUUCAUCUUCAUCUGAUGAGCCUUCAUCGAAGCCAAACGAAUCCUUUGCCAUAUCUGCCGUUGGUGUCGCUAACUCUACCGUAGUGACGGUUUCAAACUAGGAAGAACACAGAGUGGGGGACGCAGUGACACCUCCCAGUGCGUUUUUAGUACACUCUUGGAACGCCGCUUGACCGGUCGAAUUUGUGGACCAGAACUAACUGUUGUAUAAAAUAGUGUGCUUUUAACUACUUUUAUCGACUUUAAUCGUGGAUUACGUGGAUUAGUUCCAUUUAGAUGGGUCGAUAUGGAGGUCAUGUGGUAAAAGUGGUGAGGUAAAAUGCGCGAGAGAGAGAGAGAUGAGAGCAAGGAGAUGAUUGGAGGUUUAAGAGAUCAAGGGAAGGGACUUGGAGAUGUAGAAGUGGAUAUGUUAGGGGAAUUAAAUGGAAGCAUGAUGGAGAUAUUACGGUGUAGGACUAAUCUGAUAUGGUGGACAGGUUCUGGUAUAAGAUAGAGCGUCUAAGGAUUUCUCACCUGCCUUUCAUAUCUAAAUUUCUGGGAAAAGUUCUAGCCUCCCAGUUGCAAGCACAUCUUGAAGCUAAUAAUCUCUGUGAUCUGGUUUUCGGCCGCUCCACAGCGCUGAAAUGAUCGAUAUUGAUACUGACGUUAGUGUAUAUAAUAAGAAUUAGGUCUAGGAAAUAGUGGCGAUGUUAAUGUAUAGAAUGGAGACCGGACAUGUUGCGGUAUAUUAUCAAGCGUCCGUAGGAGACUGUGCCAGUGGUGGAGAUGGUAUGGUACAGGAUAAAAGGGCUGGAGAGGUUAGGGUAUCCACUGAAGGGUCUCGGGAAAAUAAAGUCGUUAGGAUAUUUAGGAUGGUGGUUGGAGGCGACUAUGAUUCUGAGGAGCUGAUAGCGUGAAAGCACAAAUGGUGUGAAAGAGAGAACAAGGAGGUGAUUUAUAGCAGCAGACUUUCUCACUGAAGCACAACAGGGAAAUCCAUUCUAAAAGCGUAUCAGUGAUGAUGGCCUUUAGGCUGUGUGUGUGUGUGUGUGUGUGUGUGUGUGUGUGUGUGUGUGCGUGCACAUACAAACCAUGAAGACAAAACAUAUAUUAGAGUAAUAAAACGAUAAACACUUUCAAAGUUGCAUAGCUGCCAAUAGCUCCGUGACCGGAGAAUGACUUCUAUCUUUCUGUGUGUGUGUGUGUGUGUGUGUGUGUGUGUGUGUGUGUGUGUGUGUGUGUAUACAUGCACUUAAAUGCUCCUCAUAGCAGUAUUAGUAAUGCGGCCUCUCUUCUCUCUCCCUUUGCUUUCCAAUAAAGUCAUCUGCCUCUUCUCAGACCGUACCCCAGGGACCAAACAGAGGGAAGGAAGACGGGUAAAUAAACGGAGGCGGUAAUGGUGCAGCGGCACUGACGAGCACGUCCGACUCUGUGUGUGUGUGUGUGGAGGCCCUCGGCACCCCUCUCACUUUACCCCUUAUGUUAAAGGCAGUCAGGGGGAAAAUUGGAGGCAGCACAGCUCUCUGCAAGCACACCUGAGACUGGGAAAGGAGGGAUGGAGGGGGAGGAAAGAGAGAGAGAGAGAGAACAGAGAGGAGAAUAAGAGAGAGAGGAGCUGGAAAGAUUUAGAAGGAGAGAAGAGAGGAAGAUCAGAUGGAGCAGAGGAAGUAGGGGUGGUAUGGGAGACGAUAAUGGUGCAACGGAAAUGCGGGACACAGUGGAAAGAUGGUAGAAAGGGAAGGAGAGGUUGAGUGAAA